GAUAGUGUGGCCGAGUGGUCUAUGGGGCUGGUUUUAGGCACCAGUCUCUUCGGAGGCAAGGGUUCGAAUCCCUUCACUGUCA
rnacentral:tRNA from 1 species